GGCAGUGAAAACACCACACAAUUCAAAGAAUGAUGCUGUAGACAUUCGGGUGGGGCAGAUCAUGUUGCUUUGCGGGAAACAUAGGCAACAAGGAGGUUCCAUCAAGGACAUGACACUGGAGCCAUUUGAGCCUUUUCUGACUUUAAAUGAUCAACAACUAAUUCUAGAAGUCAGUUGGAAUCAGGACCUCUCUUGGAUUUUGACUCUGAGGACCCAAAAGGAGUCUUCACAAAGGAGGAAGCAGCAGUAGAGGAUCAGAAGACAACCAAGAUGAAGUCUCUGGCCUUGUUAGCCUUGUGGGCCCUGCCACCUGGCCAGAGUCUAAAGAUAACAUGCUUCGGGUCUUCUGUUGAUAGACCUCUAUAUGUUUUCCUUUUUGUGACUGUGUUUGCUCUUGUCCAGUCUUUGGGCAUCUCUCAUUCCCUGCUGUGCCUCAAGAGAUCCCUUGUAACCAAGUCAACUGUUAAUGGACUCUAACCCUAAAGGGUGAUUCAUAUAAUGC